UGAUCAGCCACACUGGGACUGACACACGGUCCAGACUCCUACGGGAGGCAGCAGUGAGGAAUUUUGCGCAAUGGGGGGAACCCUGACGCAGCAACGCCGCGUGAGUGAAGAAGGCCCUUGGGUCGUAAAGCUCUGUCAAUGGGGAAGAAGUUAUUAUGUAUUAAUAGUGCAUAGUAUUGACGGUACCCAUGAAGGAAGCACCGGCUAACUCCGUGCCAGCAGCCGCGGUAAUACGGGGGGUGCAAGCGUUAUUCGGAUUUAUUGGGCGUAAAGGGCGCGUAGGCGGCCUCAUUAGUCAGAUGUGAAAGCCCGGGGCUUAACCCCGGAAGUGCAUUUGAAACUGUGGGGCUUGAGUAUGGGAGAGGGAAGUGGAAUUCCUGGUGUAGAGGUGAAAUUCGUAGAUAUCAGGAGGAACACCGGGUGGGCGAAGGCGACUUUCCUGGACCAAUACUGACGCUGAGGCGCGAAGGCGUGGGGGAGCAAAACAGGAUUAGAUACCCCUGGGUAGUCCCACGCAGUAAACGUUGAUCACUAGGUGGUAGCGGGGUUAUUGGACCCCAUUUAACCGCCAU
rnacentral:rRNA from 1 species